rnacentral:rRNA from 1 species
GACCAAGGAGUCCGACCCGUGCGCGAGUCGUCGGGUCUUGUACAGGCCCUGUGGCGUAGCGAAAGCGAAGCCGAGACAUUCUCUUUAAUAGAGAGGAUAGCAUCGGCGACCCGGCGGUUAUGUCGGUGGUCUGGCGGGAAAUUUUUUUUCCAAAAGCACGACACGUCGGAGUCUGAGCGCACGAGUCGGUACCCGAAAGAUGGUGAACUAUGCCUGGCCAGGGCGAAGCCGGAGGAAACUCCGGUGGAGGCCCGAAGCGGUUCUGACGUGCAAAUCGAUCGUCGGAGCGUGGUAUAGGGGCGAAAGACUAAUCGAACCAUCUAGUAGCUGGUUCCCUCCGAAGUUUCCCUCAGGAUAGCUGGCAUUCGGGAAGACUUCAGUCUCUCCUCGUAGAGAGAAUGAAUAGAGGCCCUGGGGCCCUAGACGACCUCAACCUAUUAUCAAACUACUACGAGGUGCGUCGGUCGUAAAAAAAAAUUCCUGCCUUUUGGAGGUACGACGGUUUCUUUGGAUGUACGAGUGCCGUGUGGGCCACUUUUG